GGUGGUGCAUGGCCGUUCUUAGUUGGUGGAGUGAUUUGUCUGCUUAAUUGCGAUAACGAACGAGACCUUAACCUGCUAAAUAGCCCUUAUCGCUUCGGCAGUAUGCUGGCUUCUUAGAGGGACUAUCGGCUCAAGCCGAUGGAAGUUUGAGGCAAUAACAGGUCUGUGAUGCCCUUAGAUGUCCUGGGCCGCACGCGCGUUACACUGACAAAGCCAGCGAGUAUUUCCUUGGCCGGAAGGCCCGGGUAAUCUUGUUAAACUUUGUCGUGCUGGGGAUAGAGCAUUGCAAUUAUUGCUCUUCAACGAGGAAUCCCUAGUAAGCGCAAGUCAUCAGCUUGCGUUGAUUACGUCCCUGCCCUUUGUACACACCGCCCGUCGCU
rnacentral:rRNA from 1 species